UUUUUUUUUUUUUUGAGACAGGAUCUCGCUCUGUAACCCCAAGUGGCACUAUCUGAGCUCACUGCCACCUCCACUUCAUGGCCUGAAGAGAUCCUUCCACCUCAGCUUCCCAAAGUGCUGGGAUUACAGAAUAGAAUGAAUAUGAUAUUAAUAGUACUUCAAAUUGUGGCCACGAUGGAGUACCUGUAUUGAUGAUAGUCUCCCAGCAUAAACAACUACAAAGCUGCGCAAAGUACAUGAAGAAAUUGUCUUCAGGCAUUGGGCAAUAGGCAGUUCCAGGUACAAUCUGUGAGAAGGGAAUCACAUGAAGGGACUGCUACAUUUUUCUGGUGGAGAAAGUUUCCAAACCCUCAACGAUAGCAUACAGAUAGGAAACAGAGUCCAGGCCGAAAGGAUCAGUGUUGUUUGGUGGAGGAAACAGAGACUGCUGCUCAGGGCUGCUAAAAUGUAUGUGGCAGAGUAUCAGAAAGGAUGGAGUUGCAGAGAAGGAGCCCCAGAAAUCUUAUAGAGUUUGCUGUAAGUCCUUGGCCAAAUCUCACACUAUGAAUGUGUGGAUUGAGACUCUGCAAGGCCCAGCACAGAACAGCCAAUGGGGAGCUGAAAGCUAAACAGCAAUUUCAGUGGUCACAGAGUGCUGGAGACACAUCUGAAUUCUGGUUCAGCCAGAGUCUCCACUCUUGGAAUCUCAGGCCUCGAUGAAUAUCCCAGAUACUCCCAGGAGGGCCUAGAAGGCCAUGCCUUGGGAUUAAGGAAGAUACCCCAGGAAUAAGGGCAAAACUGAACAACAGCUCACCCUAACAAAACCUAAAAUGUAGUCUGACACACAUGAUCAAGUUAACCCAUCAGUAAUUUAAUUCCCUGCCAAAA